rnacentral:rRNA from 1 species
AACGAACGCUGGCGGCAUGCCUAACACAUGCAAGUCGAACGAGACCUUCGGGUCUAGUGGCGCACGGGUGCGUAACGCGUGGGAACCUGCCCUUAGGUUCGGAAUAACUCCCCGAAAGGGGUGCUAAUACCGGAUAAUGUCUUCGGACCAAAGAUUUAUCGCCUUUGGAUGGGCCCGCGUUGGAUUAGCUAGUUGGUAGGGUAAAAGCCUACCAAGGCGACGAUCCAUAGCUGGUCUGAGAGGAUGAUCAGCCACACUGGGACUGAGACACGGCCCAGACUCCUACGAGAAGCAGCAGUGGGGAAUAUUGGACGAUGAGCGAAAGCCUGAUCCAGCAAUGCCGCGUGAGUGAUGAAGGCCUUAGGGUUGUAAAGCUCUUAUACCCGGGAUGAUAAUGACGGUACCGGGUGAAUAAGCUCCGGCUAACUCCGUG